AGAGUUUGAUCCUGGCUCAGGAUGAACGCUGACAGAAUGCUUAACACAUGCAAGUCGAUGGGGAAGUGGUGCUUGCACCAUGGUAACCAUGGCGGACGGGUGAGUAACGCGUAAGGAACUUGCCUGCGGGACUGGGAUAACAGCAGGAAACUGCUGAUAAUACCGGAUAAGGUCAUUAAGCUGCAUAGCUUAGUGAUGAAAGGAGACGCCUGCGGAGAGCCUUGCGUCCUAUUAGCUAGUUGGAGGGGUAAUGGCCCACCAAGGCGAAGAUAGGUAGCCGGCCUGAGAGGGUGGACGGCCACAAGGGGACUGAGAUACGGCCCUUACUCCUACGGGAGGCAGCAGUGGGGAAUAUUGGACAAUGGGGGCAACCCUGAUCCAGCAAUUCUGUGUGCACGAAGAAGGUUUUCGGAUUGUAAAGUGCUUUCAGCAGGGAAGAAGAAAGUGACGGUACCUGCAGAAGAAGCGACGGCUAAAUACGUGCCAGCAGCCGCGGUAAUACGUAUGUCGCGAGCGUUAUCCGGAAUUAUUGGGCAUAAAGGGCAUCUAGGCGGCCUAACAAGUCAGGGGUGAAAACCUGCGGCUCAACCGCAGGCUUGCCUUUGAAACUGUAAGGCUGGAGUAUCGGAGAGGUGGACGGAACUGCACGAGUAGAGGUGAAAUUCGUAGAUAUGUGCAGGAAUGCCGAUGAUGAAGAUAGUUCACUGGACGGUAACUGACGCUGAAGUGCGAAAGCCGGGGGAGCAAACAGGAUUAGAUACCCUGGUAGUCCCGGCCGUAAACGAUGAUUACUGGGUGUGGGCAGGAAGACUGUCUGUGCCGAAGCAAAUGCGAUAAGUAAUCCGCCUGGGGAGUACGGCCGCAAGGCUGAAACUCAAAGGAAUUGACGGGGACCCGCACAAGCGGUGGAGCAUGU
rnacentral:rRNA from 1 species